GGCUCUCUCUCUCUCCGCUCUACUGUGAGGCUUUGAUCGGUGCCAUAUUGUGCCUGGUCGUGGCGCUCGAGCAGGCAUCAACCACCGAAAGGGCGGGCGCGAAAGCUGCUCUCGCUCUCCCUCCUGCCAGCAUCUCCAUCUGCGUCUCCAUCUGGCGGUGGUUGUUCGGCGCGAAAACCAGUUUGUGGAGCGAUCUCAUUGUUCGCCCGUCUGCGGAGUAGUCGUCGUCAUCGCCCGGACCGGCCGGCCCUCGUUAAUUUAUGCUCGCGCUUCUCUUUAGUUGCUUUGCAAGUCUCGUGCCGUUUGAUCGCUGAGGCGCGCGUAAUUCCAAGAAAAAUCCCGCUUCUCACCACCGGGCUGAGAGUUGCAAAGUACCGUCGGAAUCGGGAGCCGCCCGUCGUAGUGAUGAAGUGGAUCCUUUGGGCCAGCUUUAAGUGAUUUCCCACAAGGAACGACAGCCUACUGAUAAUAGCCCAUUUCAAAUAUAAUUGUGCAAUGGUAUCGACUCGGAUGAACUAAGCUACCGAAAAUAAAGGAAGUUUUUGGAGUGCAGCGUCGCUUAGAUUCUAGGUUGCUAUAAGCUCUGUGCAUUCGGACCAUGGAUAUGUCCAGCGCCAACUCGUUGCGGCCCCUUUUCGCAGGGUAUCCCUUUCAAGGACAAGGCCGGGUAAAUCAGCUUGGGGGCGUCUUUAUCAAUGGACGACCGUUGCCCAAUCACAUUCGACUGAAGAUCGUGGAAAUGGCGGCCAGUGGAGUGCGGCCCUGUGUAAUAUCGCGCCAGCUCCGCGUGUCUCAUGGCUGCGUAUCGAAGAUUCUGAACCGAUACCAGGAGACGGGCUCUAUUAGACCGGGCGUAAUAGGUGGAUCUAAGCCCAAGGUGACCUCUCCCGAAAUUGAAACGCGAAUCGAUGAGUUGCGAAAGGAAAACCCGAGCAUAUUCAGCUGGGAAAUACGCGAAAAGCUGAUAAAGGAGGGCUUUGCGGAUCCACCAUCAACAUCGUCGAUCAGUCGCUUAUUGCGGGGAAACGAUCGCGGCAGCGAAGAUGGUCGGAAGGACUAUACUAUAAACGGAAUUCUUGGAGGGCGAGACUCAGAUAUAAGUGACACGGAAUCGGAGCCUGGGAUUCCGCUGAAACGCAAGCAGCGUCGCUCACGCACCACCUUCACCGCCGAGCAACUAGAGGCACUCGAGCGAGCCUUUUCCCGCACCCAAUACCCGGACGUCUACACCCGAGAAGAGUUGGCCCAGACCACGGCCCUCACCGAGGCCCGUAUCCAGGUAUGGUUCUCGAACCGCAGGGCACGCCUGCGCAAGCAUUCUGGCGGCUCGAGCUCCGGGCUUUCGCCCAUGAACAGUGGAAGCUCCAAUGUGGGCGUAGGUGUUGGGCUCAGUGGGGCGACAGCACCACUUGGCUACGGCCCCUUGGGAGUUGGCUCGAUGGCGGGAUACAGUCCAGCGCCGGGAACCACUGCCACUGGAUCUGGGAUGAACGACGGUGUUCACCACGCCGCACACGCACCAAGCUCCCACCACAGCGCAGCAACGGCUGCUGCAGCGGCACACCAUCACACACAGAUGGGUGGCUACGAUUUGGUCCAAAGUGCGGCUCAACACGGAUUUCCCGGAGGUUUUGCUCAGCCGGGGCACUUUGGUAGUCAAAACUAUUACCAUCAAGACUAUUCCAAGCUGACCAUUGACGACUUCUCCAAGCUCACCGCCGACAGCGUCUCAAAGAUCUCGCCCUCACUACACCUCAGCGACAACUACUCGAAGCUGGAGGCUCCCUCAAACUGGUCACAGGCCGCCUACCACGCCGCCGCCAACUACAAUGCCCACGUAGCCCAGCACCAGCUCAAUGACUAUGCCGCUGCAGCGGCUCACGGGAACCCGGCCUCUGCCUACAGCCACCCCCUGCCGGCACAGGGUCAGGCCAAGUACUGGUCAUGAUCUAAUGAAUCGCCGACGUCGCUGUACGACUGAGAAUCAUUACAUUUUCGCGUUAGUUUUAUGCAUUUCAAUUAUCAGCAGAGGCACAUGUAAAUCUUAGGCAACUAUUUAUACCCCCAAACUACUUACUUUGGAUCAAGAAAACGUUGCAGUUCAAUUUAAAAAAUCCCGACGUUAAGGCGUAUGAACGGAAGGAUCUUGCUGAAAUU
rnacentral:misc_RNA from 1 species